UGGAAGGAGGAGGAGCCCGGCGGAAUUAUAAUGCUCGGUGCUCUUAUCAUCUUUGGUCUAAUUUAGUCGUGUGGUGAGACACCAGAAUAGGUAUGUGGGGUAAAUGAGGGAAAGCAGAAAGAGAGAGAGAGAAACAGAGUGAGGGAGAAAGAGGGAGAAGAUCCCAAUCUGUAGUCAAUUUGUGCGUUUUUACGCGUGAAACUCCAGUCCAGCAGCACUUUAUAGGCUUUCAUGUAAAAGUAUUUGGACAAGUCGACUCGGGUUCCGUUAGAGGCCGCAGCUUACAGAUUCACAUAUUUUUCUCGACCCACAGCGCGGACAAUCCUUUGUUUUUGUAAAGGUAAUGCAGAGCUGGACCAUAUAUCAGCUUUGAUGAUACCUCCUCUGGGGCGGGAGAGAGGCGGCAGCACGCAUCCCUCUCAGCGACGCCAACCCGGGCCGUAACUCAGGCAGAAAAGGCUCAUUUUAUUUAUCAUCCGAGAAAUACUUCAUUUCCUCUCAGAGCACCGAGCAUCCUGCAGCUGUGACGGUGAAGGCUUCUUUCUGACCCUGGACUCACAAAACGGCGAAUAUUUGCAUAUGGCUUUGCCGCGAACAAAUCUGUAUUUUAUUUGAAAAUAAAAGAACAAAGAAACACAUUUUACAAUGCAGUUCAGAAGGAACAUAAGAAAAUCCAGUCAGUGUUUAUUUGAUGCUGCUGGGGGAGAAACUACAUCAGUGGCAGGUGUUGAUUGGAGCCCUUUACACUGCGGUCUGCGAGCUUAAAGCGCCACCAUGCUGUAUGCAGGGUUUGUGUGCGAGAGUGGCGUGGAGAGACACGGCUCUCACUGCAGACUGUGCCUGCGAUUAGACCAGCUGCAGGGGAAACUGUUCCCUUUCGAGCCAUUUCGUGACACGCCACAGAUGGGUGUCAUAUCUCCCCUUCUCCUAAAGGCCCGCCAGUUAUCUUUGUGACACCAGAUAUGGAUUCAGCAGAGGGAACCGGGGAAAAAAAGCCUGGCCCAGACUCGUGUGUGUCCGUUAAACUUGUAAUGUAUAAAUCACAAGUCAUUACCAGAGGUCAGCGACUGAGGAGCAACCAUUGGAUGGUUCCAUUGCGAGGGCCAGCCUGGUUGGAGGAGAGAGGAUUUAUCUGGCAGUUGGAUCUCUGGAGAGGCAGCCAUAUUUUAUGUGACUAGAGAUGUAAUAACAGGCCUUUGACAAAUCCCCGACGGCCCGGCUCCCGCAGCCUCGCUGUGCAGAGCCAAUGCAGCUGGAACAGCAGAUUAUGAGGAGCACCAUUAGCAGUAUGAUGUGCACAGACUCAGCAAAGUGUUUUUCUCUUCUUUUUUUUUUUCUUUCUCUUUAAGACAAUAUAGUGGCACCUAACAAGUUAUUGGUUUUCAGUCAUACAUACAGGUGUUUCUCAAUUAACAUUUUUGAGAAGUACAUUUGUUUUAGUAAUUCAGCUCAAAAAACCAAAGUAAUAUAUUUUAUAGAUUCAUUACAUACAGAGUGGCAUAUUUCAAUUAUUAACUUCUGUUAUUUUGAUGAUCAUGGCUUACAGCUAAUGAAAACACAAAAAAGUUUGUUUCUCAGAUAAUUAGAAUGUGACAAAUGGCCGAUAAAAGAAUAAUUUUUAUUAAGGAAAUGUAAAUCUAGUUAAGAGUAUGUCCAUGUCUGAAAUGCUAUAAAGUCCUUUGCUUUACAAUUCCCCAGAGAUUAUCCAUGUUAAGUACGAACCUUUUUCUGCCAUACUUUUUCCUUCCACUCAACUUUUCACUUAUUUCCUUCGAUACACCGCUCUAAACAGCCAAUAUCUUAAACAAAAACCUUUUAUGGCUUAUCCUCCUUAUGGAGGGUGUCAGUAACUGUCUGCAGGUCAAUUGACAAACGUCUUCCCAACAACUGUGAAGGCCAUAAUUUGGAUGCAACAUUUCUGUAUUAACAUUUCUUUCAUUUUGGUCAUUUUGAAUGUUGCAGUUUUUAGAGAAGAUAAAUUUGGAGGGUUUUUUUUGCUGCAAAAUUCACAGAAAUAAACUCUUGAAACAUAAUCAGAUUGCAUUGUAUAUACUGUAUGUAAUAUGUAAAUUUUAAAUUUUUGAAUAGAAAAACCCCCAAAGAAAUCAAUCAACGUUUUGAGGAUAUUACAGUUUAUAGAGCUUAAGCUGGAUUUGCUAACAUUGCCACAAAUAAAAACUUAAAAAGCUGCCUACUUGGUAGCCUAAACCUACUUAAAAAUAAGAUAUGUGUUGAAAUUAGAAACAGAUUUCUAAAUAGAUUUCAGAAAGAUUGCUGCAGGACAUGACAUUAAUCUUGGGAAAGUCUUUGCUGUAGUGAAUUAAAAUUUGCUUUAACAUAUUUUACUCUGGCUGAUGCAUCUUGCUAUAGAUGGGAAAUGUCCUGUUGAAAAAUAUACAGUCUUAGACAUUUGUGUCUGAGUCUGCUUUUUGUUUUAGAAAACUUAUUGCAUCGAUUUCAUUGUUCACAAAAGGAGAAAAAGCAUUUCAGUAAUAAAGUGCACAUUGGUGGAAAUAGAAAUCAAAAUAUAAAGCCAAAGAUAACCCUCCUCCCUCUAAAAAAAAAAACAACAAAAAAAACGCCACAUGCUAUAAUAAAAUACCGCAAAAAGUGAGAAAUUAUCAAUUAUCCAAUUUUAUUUAUAUAGAACAAAAUCAAAAACAAAAAUCUUGAACCAUGUUGCAUGAAAGCAAAAUUCAAUAGCAUAGGAAAUAUAACAGUUACAAUAAUGUUAUCUAUAAUAUCUUUCCUCUGUUUUUUUAUUUGAAGGCAUUGACUUAAGCAAAAACCUUUGGCAACAUGUUUUGACAUUGUCCUCUUUACAGAGUACAAGUCUGACAAGGUGAUUUUGGCUGGUUAAAAGUUAAGCUAUCUGCUCCUGUAGCUAGCCUGCAUAUGACCAUAUGAUGCUCAUAUGUUGCCAGCUGUAGUUUUAAGAAGGUGUUUACUCUAAAAAUAGUAAUAGGUGGGGCUUCCUUAAUUUUCAUACUUUAAAUAUCCAUGUUUUUUACAACAAAAAGUAUUUACAAACAGCUAAAUUUGUCUUUCUCGUGAUCAAAAGAUUAGAGUAGAAGCCAUUUUUCAGCCAUCUGACUGAAGGAGCAAAGCACCACCCAACAGGUGCUGGAGGGGCAUUGCUGCAUUACUCCUUUCCCCACAGCAGAUUCUGUGACUCAUAGCUGAAAAAACCCCAGAAAACUCAGGCACUCUCACUGGAAUUUCAUUAAAAGGACUUUUAAACCUAACGAAAGGCGGAAUAAAAAGUUAAAUAGCUGUUUUAAACCUUUGCAAACCUUAAUGUGGGCAACCAGCUCAUCCCUAAAGACUCCUUGCUUUUGCACUUGUUACAAAAUGAAGAAUCCAGUUUUUUUGAAGACAAUAUGUGGGAAUUUGCACAAAUUGCAUUCCCACAUUAUAAAAACUAGACAAAAUUUACUCUGGCCUAAUGUUUCCUACCCACAGAAUCAAAAUAAAAAAUGUGGAUAUGGUGUAAAUUUUUUCAAAAGAUUAUCAAUAUAGACAUCAGAGAUUAUGUUAUCAAGCCACAUCCCAAAAUAUUUAUAAAACAUAACCCUGAUUUAAUCUUGUGGUAACUGUAAAGUUAAAGGUUAAUGAGCAGGAGCUUACUAAGCUGUAAAAAAACAUUUGCCUCUGUUUUAGCUCUUUUGUUGCAGUUCUGUAUUUCAGAUCAAUCUACAAUUCUUUAUAACAGACAAAAAGAGCAUAUUGAAGUUUUCAUGUGUAUAUUUAAUUUUUUUAAGGACAGAAAGGUAAAUUCUGAUAACAUAAAGUAGGCUGUAAAUACAAAAAAUGAUUUCCAAUCUCAACAAAUUCAAGACGAGAUGAGAAACAAAGUUAUUGACUGUUUUAGGACUCCGGCGAACCCCAGUGGGAGACAUUUUUCACAAAUGAAGAAAACAUGGAACAGUGGUGAACCUUCCCAGGAGUGAGCAGCCCUCAAAAAUUACUCCAAGAGUGCAUCCAUGACUUGUCCAGGAGGUCACAACAGAACCUCGAGCAACAUUUUAAGCACUGCAGACCUUAGGUGCCUCAGUUAAGGUCAGAGUUCAUGAUUAUAUAAUAAGAAAGAGAAAAAAGUCAUUGAUUGGAGGGUUCCAAGUAGAAAACCACUACUGAUCAAAACAACAAAAAUGGCCAUUACAUGUCUCUUUAUAAAACGUUUGGGAAAAUAGAGCCCGACAAAUAUGGAACGUUUGGAAGUUGUGCACUGUGUUACAUUUGGUGUAAAACUAACGAAAGAAUAAAAUCAAUUCUAUUACUGGCAGUCAAACUCAGUGGUUGUAGCCCACCUAUCUCACUGAGGUUACACAGCAGAACAAUAAUCCAAAACACACCAGAAAAUACUCAUUCAUACAGGUAUGGGUUGGUUUGAAUAGCUUUCCUUUAAUAAAUGAAAUCAUAAUUUGGUCUGGUUGAUCAUUUGAAGCAUGCAGGAUCUCCAAAUGAUGUUGUCCCUGGCCAACUGUUUCUACUUUUAUUUCGUCUAUCACUCAUCUUCAGAGGGUGCAAAAAGCAGCAGUUCAUUUUAACUGGUGCCAGGAAGGUUUUUAGCAGAUUUCCUCUGAUUUUAACGUACCUUCAUUGGCUGCCCAUUCCAUUUAGUAUUCAUUUAAAAUUCUUUUGUUUGCUUUUCAAGUCCUCCAUAGCCUUGCCUCAUCCCAUCUCUCUGAACUGUUGCAUCCUUAUACACCUACCAGCUCGGUGCCAGCAUAAACUUAGAGGAGACUGUGCUUUUGCUGUAGCAGCUCCCAAAUUGUGGAAUGAUCUGCCCUUGGAUUUUGACAGGAGUCUUCUCUGUCUGUUGUUAAACCCCUUUGAAAACCCAUCAUUUCACCCUUGCCUUUCACACCUUGUAAGAUGUUGGUUUAGGUCAUUUUAGUUGUUUGUAGUUUAUUCUUAUGCUGUUUUCAUAUUGUUUUAAUAUGUGGCUAGUUGCUUGUGUAUAGUGUGUUUGUAUGUGUUUUUAAUUUCAACUAAAGCACUUUUGUCCUCCACUAGUUGUUUUAAAGUCAAAUAAAGUUGGAUUGGAUUGGAAAA